rnacentral:rRNA from 1 species
UGUGUAGGUGGCAAGAUAAGUCAGAAGUCAAAUUGUUGGGCUCAACCCAAUAUCGCUUUUGAAACUGUCUAGCUAGAGUCUAGGAGAGGAAAGUGGAAUUACAAGAGUAGCGGUGGAAUGCGUAGAUACUUGUAGGAAGGCCAAAGACGAAGGUAGCUUUCUGGACUAAGACUGACACUGAGGCACUAAAGCUAGGGGAGCAAACA